CCUACGGGAGGCAGCAGUAAGGAAUAUUGGUCAAUGGACGCAAGUCUGAACCAGCCAUGCCGCGUGGAGGAUGAAGGUCCUCUGGAUUGUAAACUUCUUUUAUCUGGGAAGAAAUGCUUUUUUUCUAAAGAGCUUGACGGUACCAGAUGAAUAAGCACCGGCUAACUCCGUGCCAGCAGCCGCGGUAAUACGGAGGGUGCAAGCGUUAUCCGGAUUCACUGGGUUUAAAGGGUGCGUAGGCGGAUUAGAAAGUCCGUUGUGAAAUCUCUGAGCUUAACUCGGAAAUUGCGGUGGAUACUAUUAGUCUUGAAUACUGUGGAGGUUAGCGGAAUAUGUCAUGUAGCGGUGAAAUGCAUAGAUAUGACAUAGAACACCAAUUGCGAAGGCAGCUGGCUACACAGAUAUUGACGCUGAGGCACGAAAGCGUGGGGAUCAAACAGGAUUAGAUACCCUGGUAGUCCACGCCCUAAACGAUGANUACUCGACAUUUGCGAUACACAGCAAGUGUCUGAGCGAAAGCAUUAAGUANUCCACCUGGGAAGUACGACCGCAAGGUUGAAACUCAAAGGAAUUGACGG
rnacentral:rRNA from 1 species